rnacentral:rRNA from 1 species
CCCUUAGAUGUUCUGGGCCGCACGCGCGCUACAUUGAUGCAUUCAACGAGUUUCUUCCUGGUCCGAGAGGAAUGGGUAACCUUUUGAAAGUGCAUCGUGAUAGGGAUAGACUAUUGCAAUUAUUGGUCUUCAACGAGGAAUUCCUAGUAGACGUAGUUCAUCAGACUGCAUCGAUUACGUCCCUGCCCUUUGUACACACCGCCCGUCGCUCCUACCGAUUGAAUGCUCAGGUGAGCCAUUCGGACUUUCAUCAUGCUGGUUUCCAGUUUUGAUGAAGGAAAGUCUUGCGAACCUUAUCAUUUAGAGGAAGGAGAAGUCGUAACA